GCAGUCGAACGGUAACAGGUCUUCGGAUGCUGACGAGUGGCGAACGGGUGAGUAAUACAUCGGAACGUGCCCGAUCGUGGGGGAUAACGCAGCGAAAGCUGUGCUAAUACCGCAUACGAUCUACGGAUGAAAGCGGGGGAUCGCAAGACCUCGCGCGGACGGAGCGGCCGAUGGCAGAUUAGGUAGUUGGUGGGAUAAAAGCUUACCAAGCCGACGAUCUGUAGCUGGUCUGAGAGGACGACCAGCCACACUGGGACUGAGACACGGCCCAGACUCCUACGGGAGGCAGCAGUGGGGAAUUUUGGACAAUGGGGGAAACCCUGAUCCAGCCAUGCCGCGUGCAGGAUGAAGGCCUUCGGGUUGUAAACUGCUUUUGUACGGAACGAAAAGGUCCUUUCUAAUAAAGAGGGCUCAUGACGGUACCGUAAGAAUAAGCACCGGCUAACUACGUGCCA
rnacentral:rRNA from 1 species